AACCAAUCAGCGAUCCCUCAAAACCCUCUUGCACCCUACAGCCCGCAGCCACGCCUGCCAAUAUAGGGUAGGUACCCUCGUCAGAUCGACCCUUAUCCUUUUUACCCGCCUUCCUUCUUUUCUCUGCUCUCGCUGGACCCAACUCAUUUCGCAAAAUGGAUUCCGCCUGGUUGUUUUCAAUGAUGGACCACCAUGUUUCUAACGUAAUAUAACAUAAACGGACGUGACGAUAACCGGUGACCAUUUCGAUGUCUACCGAACAGCCGAUGAAGAAGGCAGAUGAAACGUACGAGUUAUAAUAAUCCGUGAUAGCAACGGUGGCGAUGUCGAGGAGCGGAGGAGCGGCUGUGCUGUCACAAAGGCAUGCGCCACCCACCUCGACCUGGACGCUCACAUCGUUAAUCAACUGCAGCGGGACCCCGUAACUUUCGAGGUACCGAUCCACAGUACCGAUAGCGAUGUCGAUUUAAGCGAAGUAAGAAGCUCCUUAUUCCACUACUUAUAGCUGAUUCUCCGCGUGGAGAUGCAGAGAAGAAGCCGACUAUAAAGCGCGCGCUGCACGAUGACUAAGGGCAGGCAGCUACACCUACAAUGCUUCGCAGACGGGGCGAUCCAUCGUCAAUGAACAUCGGGAUUACACGGUUAAAUGAGAUUCUAGCGGCGGAAUCAAAGAGGCAGCAGGUGGUCAGGGCCACAGCCAUCUUUCCCCGCGGGAUAUGCUUUACCGUCUGACUCGAGACGAGACUCCGCGCGAGGAUCCCUGGAAACGUACGUAAACGCGUCCAACCGUAUCUACGUCGUGCAGCCGUUUGUCUCCAUCCGAACAACUCCGGCACUCCGCUACUCGAACCAGAAUGGUGAGUCUGGUGACGUGAAUGUCCGGCGAACAUCGCGAUCUGAUGUUCGUGGCGAUAACUCUCCGGUGCAGGGUGGUAUGCUUCGCGUGUAGUUAAGUAUACUGAUACCGAUGCUUCCUGCAUCGAGAAGAAUAUGUAAGCGUGAUUGGAUCAUUCAUAUCAGUUCUGUGUACAUCGCGUUAUUAGUAAAUCCAAAGUGGAAAUUAUUAAAACAAUGUUUAAUAGAAUAUUUCUUAGGGGAAACGACUUGUUAUAUAUAAUUGAAUUUAUUAAACAGGACAGAUAUCAAUCGUUACUAACGUUAAUUUGUUGCAUUGUAAUUGAAUGUUAUCAUUUUCUAUUCAUGAAACUACGAAGUUCUACGAAAAUCGUAUUUUUAUAUAAAAUACAUAUGCAAGCCACACUUGAUUAGAUGUCAAUUUAUAAUCGAACAAUUAGUGAAAUAAUUAAUUGUGUGAUACGCUGCGAAAAUAAAGUA